UACGUAGGGCGCAAGCGUUGUCCGGAAUUAUUGGGCGUAAAGCGCUCGUAGGCGGCCAGUUGCGUCUGCUGUGAAAUCCCGGGGCUCAACCCCGGGCUUGCAGUGGAUACGGGCUGGCUGGAGGCAGGCAGGGGAGAACGGAAUUCCCGGUGUAGCGGUGAAAUGCGCAGAUAUCGGGAGGAACACCGGUGGCGAAGGCGGUUCUCUGGGCCUGUACUGACGCUGAGGAGCGAAAGCGUGGGGAGCGAACAGG
rnacentral:rRNA from 1 species